rnacentral:tRNA from 1 species
UAGAGGGUAGUGAAAAGGAAUAACAUAGAGUUUUGAUCUCUAUAUUGUAGGUUCAAUUCCUACCCUUCUAU